GUAGGUGUCAUAGGAGGUGUCCAGAGGGUGGGUGGCAUUGAAUACAUAAAGGGGCUUGAAGAGUUAGAAAGGUGUUGGUGGUUAUGGGACCUAGGAUGGGCUUGGUGUGGUUAGCAUAGGGGGCCAGAUAAUCGAAAUAGGGAUAUAAUAAUAGAGCUGCUUGUCCUAUUGCAGUGAGAGGCUUGUUUGAGCUAGAAAAGGAGUUAGAAAGGUCUAUUAAGGCCUUUAAGUCUGGAAAUUGGAGAGGGCCACCUAGUUCAUAAUGGGGGUGGAAGGUUACUUGGGUUAAAACCCAGUCCUGAGCUGAGGAAGGAAUUGCGCUGUAAGCUGUAGUAGAUAGGUAGAAACAGAGCCAGCAGUUGCUUGCUAGAGUAGGGUUAACUUCUUUUAAUAGGAGUGUGUAAGAUUGAGGGCUUUGUGAAGGUAGUUAGGUAUUGGUGGAGGAAGGAGAGCUAGAGUGUGUGGGGGGCAGGAGGGGCAGUAGGAGUAAACAGGCAAAGGGUAAGGAUAAAAGUGAAGAAAUGAGUUUCAUCUGGGGUAAAAUUACAGAAGGUACCUUGGAAGGUGAGGUCAGUUAUCUAGUCAAGGAAUGCUGUGAGGGUGGGUUGUUCUAGGUAAAACCAUGGAAUGUCUUCUGUGAGGCAGUGAAGGAAGAGGGUGAAACGGCAAGACAGGCAAAGGCAGGACAUUUAGGAGGGACAGUUACUUGUUAGUGGCUGUUAUUCCUGCUAUAAGGAGAAUUAUGAGGCAAAAGGCUAUAGAAAAUAAGAUUUUCUGUUUGAAGUUCCACCCUGGGGGUGUUACAAUAUAUAUUCCUAUAGCAAAGAGCAGAGUAAGUCAGUCAAUUCCUGUAAGGGCAGCGCAGUAAAUGAUUUUCAUUAAUGAGGGUUCAGAUAUUUAACAGUGAAGGGUGGUAACUUAUCUGUUAGGAUUCAUGGGUGAGAGGAGUGUGGGGUCUUCUGGGAUGGGCGUAAGGUGGAGUCAGGUUGGCCCAAGGAGAGUGCUGGAGUGUUUGCAGGGAACAGCUGGUUGAUUAGUCGGUGGUGGGUCAGUUGCAGGAGUCCUUUAUAAUCUGGAAAGAUGGUACCAAGAGUUACGUCCUGAAAGUUUGGCUGCAGUGGGGGUAGUGAGAAGAAGUUGGAAAGGGCCUUCCUACUUUGGUUUAAGUCUCAUUGGAGUGAGGGUUUUUAGGAAGACAUACUCUCCUGGAAGGAGAGUUUGGUUGGCGGGGCCUUGGUGGGGUUUUGGGAGGGCCUGAUCAGCUUCUUUGCAGAGGAGAUGACAGAUGAGGGAGAGCGUUGGGAGGUAUUCUCCUAAUUGAGAGUUAGGAAGAGGUCUGUUUUGUAAGAGGAAAUUGCAUUCAUACAUUAACUUGAAUGGACUGAGGAAGGAGGGAGCUUUUGGACUGGCUCUGAUGCCAGCCAGUGCUGUGGGUAAAAGGGAGAUCUGUGGUUUUUUGACUUCAAGAGUGAGUUUGGUUACUGAGUCUUGAGAAUCUCAUUUGCCCUUCUGACUUUCCAGAUGACUGGGACUGGUCUGGGAUAUGGAAUUACCAUGCCAAGGGACUGAGAGACUUGUUGGGUGAUUUGGGAGAUGAAGCUAGGGCCGUUGUCUGAUUGUAUGGAGCGAGGCAGCCCAAAUUCUAGGGAUGAUUUCUGUUAUGAGAAUUUGAGAGACUUCUGCAGCUUUUUCUGAAGGGGUAGGAAAUGCUUCUACCCAACCUGAAAAGGUGUCUAUGAGGAGAAGAAGAUAUUUAUUUUUUUUGACGGGAAGGAUGUGGGUGAAGUCUACUUGCCAGUCCUCCCCUGGGAGUGUUCCUCUAAGCUGAUGUAUAAUGAUGAGGAGAGAGCAGAGGGCCCCUUGGGAGGAAGUAACAGAUCAUAUAUGAUAGUUUGAGGUUAUGUCUUUGAGUGAGGUGAAUAGAUGGGGAGAGGAGAAAUAAGGGCGAAGGAGCAGGUACAGGGGGUGCGCACCGAUAUGGAAGGAUUGGUGAAGAGAUGUCACAAUUUCCUUGGUUUGCUCUUGGGCGAGGACGAGCUUUUGAUUUUUGAUUAUCCAGUCUCCUUGAAGGGAGGCCCCCUGCUGUAGUAGUGAAGGCUUUUGGGUGGGAGAGUACUUGGGUUGGACUGCUGGGGGAAUGAGGAGGAGGCGGGCAGGGACAGAAGAAAGGGAGGCUUCUUUUGCUGCCUCAUCAGCCUUUCUGUUCCCUCUUGAGAUUUCAUCUGAUCCUGUUUGGUGUCCUCAACAGUGUAUAACUCCUGCUUUAGUUGGAAGGUGUGCAGCCUGAAGGAGUUGGUAAAUAAGGGGGCCGUUAGUGAUGGGGGUUCCUUUGGCAGUAAGGAAUCCUCUCUCUUGCCAGAUGGUGGCAUGGGAAUGAAGAAUGUGAUAGGCAUAUUUGGAGUCUGGGUAAAUGAUGACUCGUUUGAUUUGGAGAGGGUUAGGGCUCUGGAGAGAGCUAUAAGUUCUGCUUUUUGGGAGGAGGUUUGUGGGGGGAGGAGCUCAGCCUUAAUUACUUGGUUUAAGGUGGAGAGUAGAAGAGAGGAUAAUAUAAAGAUCACGCCAAGUGAGUUUGUAAGAUUGGGUAAGGUAUUUGAACUCCUUAAUAUAAGUGUCGGGAUCAGAGAAAAAGGACUCCAGAUGUUUUUCAAUUUGGAAAUGGUCAGAGAGGGAGAAGGGAACAUGGAAAUGCAAAUGAUCCCUUCAGUCCCAGCCACCUCUCAAAGGAGUCCUCUCUUUCAGAUUGCUCUCAUGGAUCUUCAGCCAAGGCUAGAAAUCAAACCAUUCUAGGAUUCACCUGGAAGUGCUGGGAAAAUUGUACUGAAUUUGCUAUUCCAGGGAUAGCUCUGUCUUAGUCUGUUCUCACGCUGCUACUAAAGACAUACUUUCCUUAUAAAGGAAAGAGGUUUAAUUAACUCACAGUUCCACAUGGCUGUGAGGCCUCACAACCAUGGCAGAAAGCAAAGAAGGAACAAAGUCAUGGCGGCAGGCAAGAGAGCUUGUGCAGGGGAACUUCCCUUUGUAAAACCAUAAGAUCUCCUGAGACUUAUUCACUACCAUGAGAACAGUAUGGGGGAAACUGUCCCCAUGAUUCAAUCAUCUCUACCUGUCUGCACCCUUGACACAUGGGGAUUACUACAAUUCAAGGUGAGAUUUGGGUGGGGACACAGUAAAACCAUAUCAGCUCUUUACUCAUUCCAUGACUAUCUAUUAUAGUUAUCAUUUGUAAGCAGUAUCAGAGACACUAGGUAUUCAGUGACAACAGAAAAGAAAUCUUUGUGACCUCAUUGAGAUAAUCUUUUUAACAUGGAAAAGAAUGUAAAGUUGCAAACAAUUGAAUUGCAAAGGAAUUUUUCAGAUUUUGCUGGGAAGAUUUUUGGCUUAGUAUAUCUGAAAAUACCCACAUUUUCAAUUUAUUUUAAGAUAUAAAAUUUGUAGGUACUACUUUUGUGAUAUUUGACGCCAGAUACUUCCUUAUGGCAAGAUCUUUUCCUCUGUACCCCUAGUCCUUUGCUAAAGAGGGGAAUACAAGUUUCUGUAUUACCAGCCUAUAGUACUUGCGGGCCAAUGAGAAGUAAAAUGCAUUAAGUAGUUUAUAAUCCUGCAGUACCCCUUAAGGUUUCUUUCUUCUAUUAUAAUAUUAUGACACAAAUGUCUGGUAGUAAAUAGAUGUGCAAAUAUAGUGAAAUUAUUCUUGUUCUCUAAACUAUCUUAUAAUAAUUAUAUUUACAUAUCUUGUUCUUUCUGUGUUGGUCAGAUAGUUGAAAUGCAUAGUUGUUCUGAAAAAGGGCCUAUAAAUUAGGGAACUUUGAACAAAGAUGACAUCAGUAUUUUUUUUUAUAUGAUAGCAAUUUUAGUGGUUCAUUUCUGAAGAACUUAAUUUGUUUAGCUUAAAAACACAAGAUACUUCACUUAAAAUAUUUGUGAAAAUUAAGAGCAUCAUUAAAAUAAGCAUACUCUGUUGUUUUUGUAAAUAUCAAACAUAAAUAUGAAACAUGGCAGCUCUAUUUAUAAUUACAAAACUUGGAAGCAACCAUAUUGUUUUUCAAUAGGUGAGUGGAUAAACAAACUUUGAUAAAUCAUACAAUAUAAUAUUAUUUAGUGAUAAAAAGAAAUGAACCAAUAAACCACAAAAAGACAUGGAAGAAAAUUAAAUGUAUAUUACAAGGUGAAAGAAAUUAGUCUAAAAAGGCUAAGUACAGUAUGAUUCUCAAAUAUAUGACAUUAUGGUAAAUGCAAAAGAUAGUAAAAAGAUCAGACGUUUCCAGGGGCUUUGUGAAGAGGGUAUGAAAGGUGAGAGAUGGAACCCUGAGCAUUUUCAGGGCAAUAAAACUAUUCUAUAUGAUGCUGUACAGAUGGAUUUAUAACAUUAUACAUUUGUCACAGCUGUAGAAUGUACAACUUAAGAGUGAACACUAAUAUAAACUAUGGAUUUUCCUUGAUAAACUUGUAAUAAUACUGGCUCCUGAAGUGCAAAAAAUGUACCAUACUAAUGCAAGAUCUUGAUAAUAGGGGAAACUCUGUAUAUGUGUGCAUAUGUAUGUGCAUUGGGAGGAGAAUGUAUAUGGAAACUGUAACCUUUGCUCAGUUUUUUUUGAAACUUAAAACUAGUUUAAAAGAAU
rnacentral:lncRNA from 1 species